rnacentral:tRNA from 1 species
CAUAGCAUGGCAUAGUGGUUUGAGUGUUGGACUAUGGCUCUGGAGACCAGGGUUUGAUUCCCAUGGCCAUGA